rnacentral:rRNA from 1 species
UGGGGAAUAUUGGACAAUGGGCGCAAGCCUGAUCCAGCCAUGCCGCGUGUGUGAAGAAGGCCUUAGGGUUGUAAAGCACUUUCAGUAGGGAGGAAGGCCCCUUAGUUAAUAGCUGCGGGGAUUGACGUUACCUACAGAAGCAGCACCGGCUAACUCCGUGCCAGCAGCCGCGGUAAUACGGAGGGUGCAAGCGUUAAUCGGAAUUACUGGGCGUAAAGCGCGCGUAGGCGGUUUGUUAAGUGAGAUGUGAAAGCCCAGGGCUCAACCUUGGAACUGCAUCUCAUACUGGCAGGCUAGAGUACGGUAGAGGGGGGUAGAAUUCCACGUGUAGCGGUGAAAUGCGUAGAGAU